rnacentral:rRNA from 1 species
UAAUACGGAGGGUGCAAGCGUUAUCCGGAAUCACUGGGCUUAAAGGGUGCGUAGGGGGUGGCGUAAGUCAGUUGUGAAAUUCCCCGGCUUAACCGGCGGGACUGCGAUUGAUACUGCGUUACUUGAAUCAGGUUGAGGUAGGCGGAAUGUGACAUGUAGCGGUGAAAUGCUUAGAUAUGUCAUAGAACACCGAUUGCGAAGGCAGCUUGCUGGACCUGUAUUGACGCUGAGGAACGAAAGCGUGGGGAGCAAACAGGA